CGGGAUGUGGCUCAGCCUGGUAGAGCACCUGGUUCGGGACCAGGGGGUCGGCAGUUCAAAUCUGCCCAUCCCGACCA
rnacentral:tRNA from 1 species